rnacentral:rRNA from 1 species
GGGGGUAGAAUUCCAGGUGUAGCGGUGAAAUGCGUAGAGAUCUGGAGGAAUACCGGUGGCGAAGGCGGCCCCCUGGACAAAGACUGACGCUCAGGUGCGAAAGCGUGGGGAGCAAACAGGAUUAGAUACCCUGGUAGUCCACGCCGUAAACGAUGUCGAUUUGGAGGUUGUGCCCUUGAGGCGUGGCUUCCGGAGCUAACGCGUUAAAUCGACCGCCUGGGGAGUACGGCCGCAAGGUUAAAACUCAAAUGAAUUGACGGGGGCCCGCACAAGCGGUGGAGCAUGUGGUUUAAUUCGAUGCAACGCGAAGAACCUUACCUGGUCUUGACAUCCACAGAACUUUCCAGAGAUGGAUUGGUGCCUUCGGGAACUGUGAGACAGGUGCUGCAUGGCUGUCGUCAGCUCGUGUUGUGAAAUGUUGGGUUAAGUCCCGCAACGAGCGCAACCC